rnacentral:tRNA from 1 species
GUCUCCAUCGUCUAGCCCGGCCUAGGACAUCGGCCUUUCACGCCGACGACAGGGGUUCGAAUCCCCUUGGAGACG